CGAAUGCUGACAUAAGUAACGAUAAAGCGGGUGAAAAGCCCGCUCGCCGGAAGACCAAGGGUUCCUGUCCAACGUUAAUCGGGGCAGGGUGAGUCGACCCCUAAGGCGAGGCCGAAAGGCGUAGUCGAUGGGAAACAGGUUAAUAUUCCUGUACUUGGUGUUACUGCGAAGGGGGGACGGAGAAGGCUAUGUUGGCCGGGCGACGGUUGUCCCGGUUUAAGCGUGUAGGCUGGUUUUCCAGGCAAAUCCGGAAAAUCAAGGCUGAGGCGUGAUGACGAGGCACUACGGUGCUGAAGCAACAAAUGCCCUGCUUCCAGGAAAAGCCUCUAAGCAUCAGGUAACAUCAAAUCGUACCCCAAACCGACACAGGUGGUCAGGUAGAGAAUACCAAGGCGCUUGAGAGAACUCGGGUGAAGGAACUAGGCAAAAUGGUGCCGUAACUUCGGGAGAAGGCACGCUGAUAUGUAGGUGAAGUCCCUCGCGGAUGGAGCUGAAAUCAGUCGAAGAUACCAGCUGGCUGCAACUGUUUAUUAAAAACACAGCACUGUGCAAACACGAAAGUGGACGUAUACGGUGUGACGCCUGCCCGGUGCCGGAAGGUUAAUUGAUGGGGUUAGCGCAAGCGAAGCUCUUGAUCGAAGCCCCGGUAAACGGCGGCCGUAACUAUAACGGUCCUAAGGUAGCGAAAUUCCUUGUCGGGUAAGUUCCGACCUGCACGAAUGGCGUAAUGAUGGCCAGGCUGUCUCCACCCGAGACUCAGUGAAAUUGAACUCGCUGUGAAGAUGCAGUGUACCCGCGGCAAGACGGAAAGACCCCGUGAACCUUUACUAUAGCUUGACACUGAACAUUGAGCCUUGAUGUGUAGGAUAGGUGGGAGGCUUUGAAGUGUGGACGCCAGUCUGCAUGGAGCCGACCUUGAAAUACCACCCUUUAAUGUUUGAUGUUCUAACGUGGACCCGUAAUCCGGGUUGCGGACAGUGUCUGGUGGGUAGUUUGACUGGGGCGGUCUCCUCCUAAAGAGUAACGGAGGAGCACGAAGGUUGGCUAAUCCUGGUCGGACAUCAGGAGGUUAGUGCAAUGGCAUAAGCCAGCUUGACUGCGAGCGUGACGGCGCGAGCAGGUGCGAAAGCAGGUCAUAGUGAUCCG
rnacentral:rRNA from 1 species